rnacentral:rRNA from 1 species
UACGGAGGAUGCAAGCGUUAUCCGGAUUUAUUGGGUUUAAAGGGUGCGCAGGUUGUUUGAUAAGUCAGUGGUGAAAGUCUGUCGCUUAACGGUAGGAUUGCCAUUGAUACUGUUAGACUUGAAUAUGGAUGAGGUAGGCGGAAUGUGUAGUGUAGCGGUGAAAUGCAUAGAUAUCACGAGGAACUCCGAUCGCGCAGGCAGCUUACUAAACCAUAACUGACGCUCAGGCACGAAGGCGUGGGGAUCAAACAGGA